CCCUUAGAUGUUCUGGGCCGCACGCGCGCUACACUGAUGCAUUCAACGAGUCUAAAACCUGCUCUGAUAGGGGUGGGUAAUCUUUUGAGUGUGCAUCGUGAUUGGGAUAGAUGAUUGCAAUUUUUCAUCUUCAACGAGGAAUGCCUAGUAAACGCAAGUCAUCAGCUUGCAUUGAUUACGUCCCUGCCCUUUGUACACACCGCCCGUCGCUCCUACCGAUUGAAUGAUCCGAUGAAUAUCAUGGAUUGAGGAUGCAAGCAGGUUCGCCUGUCUUCAUCUUCGAGAAGUGAAGUAAAUCUUAUCAUUUAGAGGAAGGAGAAGUCGUAACA
rnacentral:rRNA from 1 species